GAAAGAAAUGAGAAAUGAGGAAAGAGUAGCAGAAAAGAAAGAGAAAGAAGGAAGAAAUGGGAAAGAAAAGAGAGUGAAAGAGAACCGAGUGACUCACCUGAGUCGACUCGACGAGUCAGCCCCUGAAACAUGUGAUCUGGGCUUGAUUUACGUUAGUUCAGCCCCAUAAGGUCAAGAAUCCUAGGGUGGUGGUACAUUGCAUUUGAUUCAAGUUGGGAGCCAAGUUUCGGCACCGAGUCGAGUUAACUCGGUUUGGACAAGGUAAUUCAUCUCAUAGAUUUUAAAAUUUUAGCUUAACUUCCAAGAUAGCAAUCAUUGAAAUAUGCUAUUCUCAUAUUGAAUUUGAAUCACCUUCUCUAAAUGAUAGAUUCAUACUAUAUUGUACGCUAUCUAAUAUUUAGGUUUAAUAUUGCGGAAUGACGUUGCGAUCUAACUAAACAAACGGUUUAAAGUAUGAUUGAAAUUGGAUUCAUGAACAUGUGCUAUCAAUUCCAACUACAUAGGAGGUCGAUUCGACUCUUGAAAGGUGAGGAUCACCCUUCAAGCUUUUCUACAUCUUGAUGAUUAGCUCUGUUAUUUUUCCUUGUUCAUUUAUCUCUUUAAUUGCUUAAUGUAGUGGAUUGUUCUUACUGAUUUUGAUUUCUCAAGAUAAUUGAUGAAUUGGAUUUGAUGUGAAUUAAAUGCCUUUAAUCUGAUUUGAAAAGUACGCUUUAGAUAUGUAUGUGCUA